CGUAGUUGAUCAUGGCUACAGAACGAACGCUGGCGGUAUGCCUAACACAUGCAAGUCGAACGCGAAAGUCCUUCGGGAUGAGUAGAGUGGCGGACGGGUGAGUAAUGCGCAGGAAUCUACCUAGUAGUGGGGGAUAACGUUUCGAAAGGAACGCUAAUACCGCAUACGUUCUGAGGAAGAAAGCAGGGGAUCGUAAGACCUUGCGCUAUUAGAUGAGCUUGCGUCCGAUUAGCUAGUUGGUGGGGUAAAGGCCUACCAAGGCAACGAUCCGUAGCUGGUCUGAGAGGAUGAUCAGCCACACUGGAACUGAGACACGGUCCAGACUCCUACGGGAGGCAGCAGUGGGGAAUAUUGGACAAUGGGCGGAAGCCUGAUCCAGCAAUGCCGCGUGUGUGAAGAAGGCCUUCGGGUUGUAAAGCACUUUUAUCAGGAACGAAAAGCGUUGGAUUAAUACUCUGACGUGCUGACGGUACCUGAGGAAUAAGCACCGGCUAACUUCGUG
rnacentral:rRNA from 1 species